rnacentral:rRNA from 1 species
UACGAAGGGGGCUAGCGUUGCUCGGAAUCACUGGGCGUAAAGCGCACGUAGGCGGAUCAUUAAGUCGGGGGUGAAAUCCUGGAGCUCAACUCCAGAACUGCCUUCGAUACUGGAGAUCUCGAGUCCGGGAGAGGUGAGUGGAACUGCGAGUGUAGAGGUGAAAUUCGUAGAUAUUCGCAAGAACACCAGUGGCGAAGGCGGCUCACUGGCCCGGUACUGACGCUGAGGUGCGAAAGCGUGGGGAGCAAAC